CAGAAGCGCGUGGCUGUCAGCUUCAGUUUCACCUGAUGAAUAACUCCUGGCUGUCUCAGCUGUGGAGCAGAGCUGGCUGGCAGCAGCAAACAGCUCUUAAUCAUCUCCACUAGAGGGAGGGCUAUUGCACAACAAGGCCACCAAGGAGCUGCAUCAGAGUCUUCCGUGCCCCCGUUCGUUGGCCCACACCGACUGCUGGUCCAGCACAGCUAGAGAUUCUACCCAGAGGUCACUGGGCURGCUGCCUUGUCUCAGUCCGAACUCCCCUCCUGCCAGGUGGAUCAGAGGGAGACUAGCAGUUUGUCUCCCUGCUGAGAAAAUGAGAUCACACCACCACAAUGGGGGGUUUGAUUUGGAAGACCUUCAUACCAGGCUACAAGAUAACACUGGAGAACCAUUUGCAUCAUCCAAAGAACAUUGUAAUAAACCCAAUACUGCAUUGGAGUUUUUAUGCCAAAUGUCAUGGAAAUAUCACUGAGUGCUGGCACACUUUUUAUAACACCGGCCACCGAAGGCAAAAGGUGAGAUAUGUGAUAGAUAUGUAKUUGCUCACGUCUCUGUGUGCAUG